rnacentral:tRNA from 1 species
UCAUGUUACUGUAAUCAAUCAACUCAAAAACGGAAAAACUCGAAUAC